rnacentral:tRNA from 1 species
AAGCAAUAUACUAAAAGUACUAUGGUUUCGGCCCAUAACCAGGUAUAACUCUUAUACCAUUGCUUU